rnacentral:rRNA from 1 species
UACGGAGGGGGCAAGCGUUAUUCGGAAUUAUUGGGCGUAAAGGGCGCGUAGGCGGCUAGAUGUGUCAAAGGUGAAAUCCCUCGGCUCAACUGAGGAACUGCCUUUGAAACUGUCUGGCUUGAGGCCGGGAGAGGGUAGCGGAAUUCCCAGUGUAGCGGUGAAAUGCGUAGAUAUGACAUAGAACACCAAUUGCGAAGGCAGCUCGUUACACGAAGAUUGACUCUGAGGCACGAAAGCGUGGGGAUCAAACAGG